CCUUCCAUGAAGCUGGAAUUGCUAGUAAUGGCAGGUCAGCAUACUGCCGUGAAUACGUUCCCGGGCCCUUGUACACACCGCCCGUCACACCAUGAGAGUUGGGAAUACCCGAAGCCUGUGAGCUAACAUAUGAGGCAGCAGUCGAAGGUAGAAUCAAUGAUUGGGGUGAAGUCGUAACAAGGUAAC
rnacentral:rRNA from 1 species